ACGGAAGGCAGCAGUAGGGAAUAUUGCACAAUGGGGGAAACCCUGAUGCAGCGACGCCGCGUGAGUGAUGAAGUAUUUCGGUACGUAAAGCUCUAUCAGCAGGGAAGAUAAUGACGGUACCUGACUAAGAAGCCCCGGCUAACUACGUGCCAGCAGCCGCGGUAAUACGUAGGGGGCAAGCGUUAUCCGGAUUUACUGGGUGUAAAGGGAGUGUAGGUGGUCUGGCAAGUCAGAUGUGAAAGCCCGCGGCUCAACCGCGGGACUGCAUUUGAAACUGUCAGACUGGAGCGCAGGAGAGGAAAGUGGAAUUCCUAGUGUAGCGGUGAAAUGCGUAGAUAUUAGGAAGAACACCAGUGGCGAAGGCGGCUUUCUGGACUGUAACUGACACUGAGGCUCGAAAGCGUGGGGAGCAAACAGGAUUAGAUACCCUGGUA
rnacentral:rRNA from 1 species